GCACUGCCCAUCAAGGAGGAGCCUACCUUCAACUAUGUGCACAAGCUUCUCAAGAAAGUGGUAGAGCUGUGCGAUAGGUGGCCUACGUUUGAUGCAGCAUGGGCUGCAAACCCUCCUGAGGAGCUCCCCAGCCUGACAAGCAGCCAGCCCCCCAUGGAUAAGCAGGCACUGAUAGAGGCCAGGCAACACCGCUUACGGCCUUGUGCAUGCUGCCUGUGCUGCAAAACUCCAGGUUUGAACCCUGUAUAAAACGUAGACGGAAACUUGUCCCGGAUGGCCCACACUACGCAGGAUGGCAGCACACGCCUAUCUCCCUCUUCGAGACGCCCACAAAGCCACGAUGCACAUUGUUUCAAGGAAAGUGUUUGACGAUCACACAAGAAGCAGCACAAUUUGAGAUAAGACAUGUAAGAACAAACUCAAGAAAAAGACUGCAUAGUGACAACUCAAAGAAUAAAUACAGCCACCGAUGAGGAGCAAAGAGCAAACUUUACUCAAAGGUAACU